AUUAAUUAUAAGGGAUCAUGAUUUGUGAGACAUUAUAGUACUUUUCGAAUUUUUCCAAUCUCAAAUAAAAUUAAGUUUUUGAGCUAAGAGUAUAAGAAGGUGGUUAAUCACUCUCGACAACGACGAAUGGCACGAGCUCACCUCAUUCCUCACGUACUCUCUCCGUCACUUCUCGUUGCUGGCGCCGCCGCCUCCAAUUCUCACAGAGGCAUGGACCCUUUGAAGUUAUGUGAAUGACAAACAUCUGAGUUUUGAACAUCUAUACAGGCAGAGAGAUUUUAGGCUUGGGUUUUGAACAAUUUCGCAAGUUUGUGAAACAAUGAGGUAGAGAAACAAAGCUGUAUUUACUGGAAAGCCGAAUUUUCACAGUUCAGUUUUAGAAAAACACAGGGGAAGCUCAAGAUUUCAGCCCCUCAAUCUAACCCUAGAUAUGGUCAUUUGACGUGGGAAUGGAAAUAGGGUAUUCAUAGCUAUUUGCACACCUUGGUCUUUGCUUUGUUUUACAAAGUUCUAGCCUUACUGGGUUUUGAUACUCCCUUGUUCAUGGUAAAUGAUGUCUUCUAUACACUUGCUCGGUCAUGUUCUUUAACUAUCAUAUUUAAGCUAAGCUUAAUUAUAUUUAGAGAAUAUACUCAUUUAGUACUUUGUAUUUCAUUGAAAUAUACAUUUUUGGUACCAUCUAAUACAAAAAAAUACCUAUUAGGUACCCUAUA